AAGUAGUUGCCAUAUUUUCUUAGUUGCUAGAAGACUCUUUGGAAAAACGCUUGGAAAAGACUAGGGGUUUGCUUUCUGAUUCUGAAAAGGCAGAAGGAGAAACUAAAGAGUCGGAGUGGGAGGAAAAUAAGAUCAGCAGAAGGAGGAAAGCAGGGCUCAUCAGUUAAAAAGCUGAAAAAAGACAAGGCAACGGGAGCAACAGGGAAAGCCACUCGUCCUGAGACAAACAUUGUAACUAUGGCACCAAGAGUCAAACCAGAGCUUCCUUUGCCUACAAUUUCAGUCGAGGUUGAGCAGUCUAUACUUGAUCACAGUAGAUUUUGUAACAAGAAAACAUGUUGAUGAUAUUUAACUUUCAUCAUCAAGUUAUGAGGUUUGUGUUUUUCUCCAAUUAAUUAUUCUUUUAG